AGAGUUUGAUCAUGGCUCAGAACGAACGCUGGCGGCAUGCCUAACACAUGCAAGUCGAACGUGAUCCAGGCUUCGGCCUGGUGAAAGUGGCAGACGGGUGAGUAACGCGUGGGAACCUGCCCUGUGGUAGGGAAUAACCGUGGGAAACUGCGGCUAAUACCCUAUGAGUCCUUCGGGAGAAAGAUUUAUCGCCAUAGGAGGGGCCCGCGUCGGAUUAGGUAGUUGGUGGGGUAACGGCCUACCAAGCCUUCGAUCCGUAGCUGGUCUGAGAGGAUGAUCAGCCACACUGGGACUGAGAUACGGCCCAGACUCCUACGGGAGGCAGCAGUGGGGAAUAUUGGACAAUGGGGGCAACCCUGAUCCAGCAAUGCCGCGUGGAUGAUGAAGGCCUUCGGGUUGUAAAGUCCUUUCGGCGGGGAAGAUGAUGACGGUACCCGCAGAAGAAGCCCCGGCUAACUUCGUGCCAGCAGCCGCGGUAAUACGAAGGGGGCUAGCGUUGUUCGGAAUUACUGGGCGUAAAGGGCGCGUAGGCUGUGCUGUAAGUCAGGCGUGAAAGCCCCGGGCUCAACCUGGGAAUUGCGCUUGAUACUGCGGCGCUGGAAGGUGGGAGAGGAUGGCGGAAUUCCCAGUGUAGAGGUGAAAUUCGUAGAUAUUGGGAAGAACACCGGUGGCGAAGGCGGCCAUCUGGCCCACAUUUGACGCUGAGGCGCGAAAGCGUGGGGAGCAAACAGGAUUAGAUACCCCCGUAGUCC
rnacentral:rRNA from 1 species